rnacentral:tRNA from 5 species
GGGCGGUUGGUUUAAUGGUAAAACGCUGCAUUCACACUGCAGAGAGCGCAGGUUCGAUUCCUGCACCGCCCACCA